rnacentral:lncRNA from 1 species
CCAACGAGCUCUUUUGGCUGAAAAAGUUGAAUAUCCUCCAUGGGCUUUGUGUUCCCCACUUACAUAAGAGAUUCUGUUAAGUUUUGUUGCAUGCCAGAUUUUAGCUGCAGCAAAAAUUUGAGUGAUCUUUGUUCCUUGAUCUCUUUUCUCCACUUGAUUUCUGGACCUGUUGCUCGUUGUGGCGAGUUUCUACAUUGCAUUCUUGAUCUCUGAUCCUUGUUUUUGCUGUGGUGAACUUCUGACUCUUUGAGGAGAGAAUUGAAUUGAUCUACUACUCUUCUUUUAUUUUCCUUUGAGUUUCCCCUGCUCUUAUGAAAUCACAAGAAAAAAACAUUAAAACUCUUUUUAUUUC